rnacentral:rRNA from 1 species
AUUGAACGCUGGCGGCAGGCCUAACACAUGCAAGUCGAGCGGAUGACGGGAGCUUGCUCCUGGAUUCAGCGGCGGACGGGUGAGUAAUGCCUAGGAAUCUGCCUGGUAGUGGGGGACAACGUUUCUAAAGGAACGCUAAUACCGCAUACGUCCUACGGGAGAAAGCAGGGGACCUUCGGGCCUUGCGCUAUCAGAUGAGCCUAGGUCGGAUUAGCUUGUUGGUGAGGUAAUGGCUCACCAAGGCGACGAUCCGUAACUGGUCUGAGAGGAUGAUCAGUCACACUGGAACUGAGACACGGUCCAGACUCCUACGGGAGGCAGCAGUGGGGAAUAUUGGACAAUGGGCGAAAGCCUGAUCCAGCCAUGCCGCGUGUGUGAAGAAGGUCUUCGGAUUGUAAAGCACUUUAAGUUGGGAGGAAGGGUUGUAGAUUAAUACUCUGCAAUUUUGACGUUACCGACAGAAUAAGCACCGGCUAACUCUGUGCCAGCAGCCGCGGUAA